GGGUGAAUAGCUCAAUGGUAGAGCAGUAGUUUUGUAAACUAGAGGUUCGAAGUUCGACUCUUCGUUCACCCU
rnacentral:tRNA from 1 species